rnacentral:misc_RNA from 1 species
CAACCCAACCAAUUUAACUCAGAUCACACAAGGUGAACAGAAAGGAUACUUCAAGAAACAAAAUUGCAGUGAUGAUCGUUGCUUGGCUUAUUUGUUGCCCAAACCAUAUCAAAUUUAAGGUGCAACAAUGUCACAGGUCAAUGAAAAGCAGCAUGCAGUUAUGCCAACAACUAUCAAUCACCUGGUUAUAGUCAAUAUAAUUUUGGAAGACUAACAUCCGGAAAAAAUAUUAUAAGCAAUUCACACUGAAAUCUAUUUUAGAUAAAAAUAUGAUAUUCAUUUUGCACAG